rnacentral:rRNA from 1 species
AGUGAACGCUGGCGGUGGGCCUAACACAUGCAAGUCGAACGGCAGCACAGUAAGAGCUUGCUCUUACGGGUGGCGAGUGGCGGACGGGUGAGGAAUACAUCGGAAUCUUCUUUUUCGUGGGGGAUAACGUAGGGAAACUUACGCUAAUACCGCAUACGACCUACGGGUGAAAGCAGGGGAUCUUCGGACCUUGCGCGAUUGAAUGAGCCGAUGUCGGAUUAGCUAGUUGGCGGGGUAAAGGCCCACCAAGGCGACGAUCCGUAGCUGGUCUGAGAGGAUGAUCAGCCACACUGGAACUGAGACACGGUCCAGACUCCUACGGGAGGCAGCAGUGGGGAAUAUUGGACAAUGGGCGCAAGCCUGAUCCAGCCAUACCGCGUGGGUGAAGAAGGCCUUCGGGUUGUAAAGCCCUUUUGUUGGGAAAGAAAAGCAGCAGGUUAAUACCCCGCUGUUCUGACGGUACCCAAAGAAUAAGCACCGGCUAACUUCGUG